rnacentral:rRNA from 1 species
AGUGAACGCUGGCGGUAGGCCUAACAUAUGCAAGUCGACCGGCAGCACAGUAAGAGCUUGUUCUUACGGGUGGCGAGUGGCGGACGGGUGAGGAAUACAUCGGAAUCUACUUUUUCGUGGGGGAUAACGUAGGGAAACUUACGCUAAUACCGCAUACGACCUACGGGUGAAAGCAUGGGAACUUCGGACCUUGCGCGAUUGAAUGAGCCGAUGUCGGAUUAGCUAGGUGGCGGGGUAAGGGCCCACCAAGGCGACGUUCCGUAUAUGGUCUGAGAGGAUGAUCAGCCACACUGGAAGUGAGACACGGUCCAGACUCCUACGGGAGGCAGCAGUGGAGAAUAUUGGUCAACGGACGCAGACCGGAUCCAGCCAUACCGCUUGAGUGUAGAAGGCCUCCGGGUUGUAGAGCCCGUUUGUUGGGAAAGAAAAGCAGCGGGUUAAUAACGCGCUGUUCUGACCGUACCCAAAGAGUAAGCACCGGCUAACUUCGUG